UGCUUCAUGUUUUACUGUAAAUGUUCUGUCUGGUCGGUAGAAGACAAUCUAGAGAGUUCUGAAAAUGUAAUAACCAGAAAUGUCACAGCGUGGGACGAAGGUCAAAGCCAAUACCUGGAGAUACUCAGAAAUCUACUAGAAAGAUCUCUAGAAUUUACAUAGGCUGCUUCUACGGUGAGAACAGAGCAGCUCCGGCUCAGUGAGUCCUAAUGAAAUGAUUGCAGGCAGCUGUGACCUUCUCUGUGUGUCCAGGAGAAGUCGGGGAACAAAACCAGAAACUAAGAUGUCUGGACGAUCAAGACUCAGAUCAGAGAACAGGCCCCGCCUCCCUGCAGUUUUCCAAAGAAUCCCACAGAGGCUUACCAGAAACCCGGAGAGUCUUUCCUCGCCGGAGCUCGCGGUAGGGCCGAGUCUGAGCUCUCAGCGGCGGCGGAGUCUCAGUCGAGCCAAACCGACACCAAUCUGUCAGGCGUCCCACAAACACAAUAAUGACGAGGAAAUGAAGACGAGGAACUGAGAGGAGGAAGCCUAAACCAACGGAGACGCUCUGUCACUCAUGGAUAAAUGAUGUUCUCUGCGUUCGUCCCCCUCUUUCCUGCGAGCUGUUAGCUCUCCGAUCUGUCUUGUUUAUCUCAUUGUUAACAGCGACAGCCUCAUCUGCAUUUAAACUCCAUCAGCGCGGGGGCAGGUGAGUCUGGCUGACAGCUCUCGCGUCUAAUGAAGCAGCAGAUAAAAAUAUCACUUCUAUUUAUUAAGAACAGAAGGGGAGCGGCGGCGGCGGUGGAGGAGCGAGCGGCAGUUUAAUGAGCCAAAUUUAGCUGAAAACC